CAUCCGUUCUUGCCUCUGUCCCACCACGUGCAGGUGUUGUGAAAGCUGUCAGAGAAUGGAGUCAGGGAAAGCCGUGAUGGGAAAGUUCUCACUAAUAAUUGCCUGAUAUAAAGAAUUAGCACAAAAGACUGCCAAAACCACAACCUUGCACAAAGGCCACAAAACUACACAAAAAAAUGCUUCAAGGACAUUUGCGCAGCAAGCCUCCUACAUGGUGCUGCUUCUAGUCGGCCGUCUUGGCCCCACCCCUAGUUUUGCAUGGCUGGGAGGCCUCAGGAAACUUAAAAUCAUGGCGCAAGGCAAAGGGAAAGCAACGCACCUUCUUCACAAGGCAGCAGGAGGGAGCUGGAGUGAUUUUCUAAGAAUAAUUCUGGCCAAACUUUCAUGCACUCCCGCAGCCAAACUCCAUUUGGAUCUAUUCAGGCAGGAAUCAUAUUUCAGCUCCUUAACUCUCAUAAGUGGAAACUGACACCAACUCAUUAUAAAACCUAAGUGGAAAA
rnacentral:lncRNA from 1 species